rnacentral:rRNA from 1 species
GAUGAACGCUGGCGGCGUGCCUAAUACAUGCAAGUCGAGCGAACAGACGAGGAGCUUGCUUCUCUGAUGUUAGCGGCGGACGGGUGAGUAACACGUGGAUAACCUACCUAUAAGACUGGGAUAACUUCGGGAAACCGGAGCUAAUACCGUAUAAUAUAUUGAACCGCAUUGUUCAAUAGUGAAAGACGGUGUUGCUGUCACUUAUAGAUGGAUCCGCGCCGCAUUAGCUGGUUGGUAAGGUAACGGCUUACCAAGGCAACGAUGCGUAGACGACCUGAGAGAGUGGUCGGCCACAUUGGAGGGUAGCCAGGGACAAGAGGACUGCGGGAGGGAGCAGUAGGGAAUGGGCGGCAAUGGGGGAAAGUAUGACGGAGUGAGCGAGAGUGAGAUGCAACAACGUCGGGUUAGUAAAAAUCUGUUACUAGGGAAGAACAUAUGUGAACGGAAAAGUAGCCAUAGUGACGGUACCUAAAGAGAAAGCGCCGGCUAACUACGUG